rnacentral:rRNA from 1 species
GACGAACGCUGGCGGCGUGCUUAACACAUGCAAGUCGAACGGAAAGGCCCUGCUUUUGUGGGGUGCUCGAGUGGCGAACGGGUGAGUAACACGUGAGUAACCUGCCCUUGACUUUGGGAUAACUUCAGGAAACUGGGUCUAAUACCGGAUAGGAGCUCCUGCUGCAUGGUGGGGGUUGGAAAGUUUCGGCGGUUGGGGAUGGACUCGCGGCUUAUCAGCUUGUUGGUGGGGUAGUGGCUUACCAAGGCUUUGACGGGUAGCCGGCCUGAGAGGGUGACCGGCCACAUUGGGACUGAGAUACGGCGCAGACUCCUACGGGAGGCAGCAGUGGGGAAUAUUGCACAAUGGGCGGAAGCCUGAUGCAGCAACGCCGCGUGCGGGAUGACGGCCUUCGGGUUGUAAACCGAUUUCGACUGUGACGAAGCGUGAGUGACGGUAAUGGGUAAAGAAGCACCGGCUAACUACGUG